AGCGUACACGGUGGAUGCCCUGGCAGUCAGAGGCGAUGAAGGACGUGCUAAUCUGCGAUAAGCGUCGGUAAGGUGAUAUGAACCGUUAUAACCGGCGAUUUCCGAAUGGGGAAACCCAGUGUGAUUCGUCACACUAUCAUUAACUGAAUCCAUAGGUUAAUGAGGCGAACCGGGGGAACUGAAACAUCUAAGUACCCCGAGGAAAAGAAAUCAACCGAGAUUCCCCCAGUAGCGGCGAGCGAACGGGGAGCAGCCCAGAGCCUGAAUCAGUGUGUGUGUUAGUGGAAGCGUCUGGAAAGGCGCGCGAUACAGGGUGACAGCCCCGUACACAAAAAUGCACAUACUGUGAGCUCGAUGAGUAGGGCGGGACACGUGGUAUCCUGUCUGAAUAUGGGGGGACCAUCCUCCAAGGCUAAAUACUCCUGACUGACCGAUAGUGAACCAGUACCGUGAGGGAAAGGCGAAAAGAACCCCGGCGAGGGGAGUGAAAAAGAACCUGAAACCGUGUACGUACAAGCAGUGGGAGCACAGAGCAAUCUGUGUGACUGCGUACCUUUUGUAUAAUGGGUCAGCGACUUAUAUUCUGUAGCAAGGUUAACCGAAUAGGGGAGCCGAAGGGAAACCGAGUCUUAACUGGGCGUUAAGUUGCAGGGUAUAGACCCGAAACCCGGUGAUCUAGCCAUGGGCAGGUUGAAGGUUGGGUAACACUAACUGGAGGACCGAACCGACUAAUGUUGAAAAAUUAGCGGAUGACUUGUGGCUGGGGGUGAAAGGCCAAUCAAACCGGGAGAUAGCUGGUUCUCCCCGAAAGCUAUUUAGGUAGCGCCUCGUGAAUUCAUCUCCGGGGGUAGAGCACUGUUUCGGCAAGGGGGUCAUCCCGACUUACCAACCCGAUGCAAACUGCGAAUACCGGAGAAUGUUAUCACGGGAGACACACGGCGGGUGCUAACGUCCGUCGUGAAGAGGGAAACAACCCAGACCGCCAGCUAAGGUCCCAAAGUCAUGGUUAAGUGGGAAACGAUGUGGGAAGGCCCAGACAGCCAGGAUGUUGGCUUAGAAGCAGCCAUCAUUUAAAGAAAGCGUAAUAGCUCACUGGUCGAGUCGGCCUGCGCGGAAGAUGUAACGGGGCUAAACCAUGCACCGAAGCUGCGGCAGCGACGCUUAUGCGUUGUUGGGUAGGGGAGCGUUCUGUAAGCCUGCGAAGGUGUGCUGUGAGGCAUGCUGGAGGUAUCAGAAGUGCGAAUGCUGACAUAAGUAACGAUAAAGCGGGUGAAAAGCCCGCUCGCCGGAAGACCAAGGGUUCCUGUCCAACGUUAAUCGGGGCAGGGUGAGUCGACCCCUAAGGCGAGGCCGAAAGGCGUAGUCGAUGGGAAACAGGUUAAUAUUCCUGUACUUGGUGUUACUGCGAAGGGGGGACGGAGAAGGCUAUGUUGGCCGGGCGACGGUUGUCCCGGUUUAAGCGUGUAGGCUGGUUUUCCAGGCAAAUCCGGAAAAUCAAGGCUGAGGCGUGAUGACGAGGCACUACGGUGCUGAAGCAACAAAUGCCCUGCUUCCAGGAAAAGCCUCUAAGCAUCAGGUAACAUCAAAUCGUACCCCAAACCGACACAGGUGGUCAGGUAGAGAAUACCAAGGCGCUUGAGAGAACUCGGGUGAAGGAACUAGGCAAAAUGGUGCCGUAACUUCGGGAGAAGGCACGCUGAUAUGUAGGUGAAGUCCCUCGCGGAUGGAGCUGAAAUCAGUCGAAGAUACCAGCUGGCUGCAACUGUUUAUUAAAAACACAGCACUGUGCAAACACGAAAGUGGACGUAUACGGUGUGACGCCUGCCCGGUGCCGGAAGGUUAAUUGAUGGGGUUAGCGCAAGCGAAGCUCUUGAUCGAAGCCCCGGUAAACGGCGGCCGUAACUAUAACGGUCCUAAGGUAGCGAAAUUCCUUGUCGGGUAAGUUCCGACCUGCACGAAUGGCGUAAUGAUGGCCAGGCUGUCUCCACCCGAGACUCAGUGAAAUUGAACUCGCUGUGAAGAUGCAGUGUACCCGCGGCAAGACGGAAAGACCCCGUGAACCUUUACUAUAGCUUGACACUGAACAUUGAGCCUUGAUGUGUAGGAUAGGUGGGAGGCUUUGAAGUGUGGACGCCAGUCUGCAUGGAGCCGACCUUGAAAUACCACCCUUUAAUGUUUGAUGUUCUAACGUUGACCCGUGAUCCGGGUUGCGGACAGUGUCUGGUGGGUAGUUUGACUGGGGCGGUCUCCUCCUAAAGAGUAACGGAGGAGCACGAAGGUUGGCUAAUCCUGGUCGGACAUCAGGAGGUUAGUGCAAUGGCAUAAGCCAGCUUGACUGCGAGCGUGACGGCGCGAGCAGGUGCGAAAGCAGGUCAUAGUGAUCCGGUGGUUCUGAAUGGAAGGGCCAUCGCUCAACGGAUAAAAGGUACUCCGGGGAUAACAGGCUGAUACCGCCCAAGAGUUCAUAUCGACGGCGGUGUUUGGCACCUCGAUGUCGGCUCAUCACAUCCUGGGGCUGAAGUAGGUCCCAAGGGUAUGGCUGUUCGCCAUUUAAAGUGGUACGCGAGCUGGGUUUAGAACGUCGUGAGACAGUUCGGUCCCUAUCUGCCGUGGGCGCUGGAGAAUUGAGGGGGGCUGCUCCUAGUACGAGAGGACCGGAGUGGACGCAUCACUGGUGUUCGGGUUGUCAUGCCAAUGGCACUGCCCGGUAGCUAAAUGCGGAAGAGAUAAGUGCUGAAAGCAUCUAAGCACGAAACUUGCCCCGAGAUGAGUUCU
rnacentral:rRNA from 1 species